rnacentral:rRNA from 1 species
GUGGCUACUGUGCCAGCUGGUGGAUCGCUCGGCUUGAGAGCUGAAGAAGGACGUGCCAAGCUGCGAUAAGCCUGAGGGAGCCGCACGGAGGCGAAGAACUCAGGAUCUCCGAAUGGGAAUCCCCACCGCAAUUGCUUCGCGCAAUGGGGAACGUCGAGAAUUGAAACAUCUUAGUAUCGACAGGAAAAGAAAGCAAACGCGAUGUCGUUAGUAAUGGCGAAUGAACGCGACACAGUCCAAACCGAAGCCUUCACGGGCAAUGUGGUGUUCGG